UUAAAAUGUAAAUUAAUUAUCAAAGUAGUAUUAGUUAAGUUCUUUAAAUUUAAAAAAUUUGGCGGUAUUUUAGUCUUUUCAGAGGAACCUGUUCUAUAAUUGAUAGUCCACGAUUAAUUUUACUUUAUUUAAUAAAUUUGUAUAUCGUCGUUUUUAAAUAUUUUAUAAGAAAUUUAAUAUUUAAGAGUUUAAAUUUAAAAAUAUUUCAGAUCAAGGUGCAGUAUAUAGUAAAGAAGAAAUGGGUUACAAUAAAUUUAUUUAUUAUGAAUUUUUAUAUGAAAAUGUAUUUUGAAGGAGGAUUUGAUAGUAAUAAAAUUUAUUAAAAUUUUAUGAUUUUAGCUCUAAAGUGUGU
rnacentral:rRNA from 1 species